rnacentral:lncRNA from 1 species
GGAAGAGACCUCUGCCCGCUUGGUGAGCUGGCGCUCCCCUCUGCGAGUAUUGCGGAACAUCUGACCACUCAGUGCGUUGAUGUGUUUACCUGACCGGCUUCCCCACGAAACGAGGAGCUCUCUCUGCCUCAUCUGCCUGUGUUCUUCAGUGACUAACCCAAUCCCUCGCUUGCGAUGGGUGCUUUGUAAGGAUGCAUUGGAUAAAUGAAUAAAUAGCAACUCCACUUUACCCGUCAAACCACUUUGGGCGUAUUGAACUCCUGCCUGGGCACCAGUUGUACUUCAUUUCUUAUUACAAAGCACUAAGUACCUCUUCCAGAAAAAUCUGCAAAUCCAGACAAAUAAAAGGAAGAAGCUAGAAACACUUCUGUUACCACUCAGCGGUGACUCAUUAAAAGAACUGACACAUACACACACACACAUAUAUAUAUACACACUCAUCAUAGUAUGCUAGUAUACACAUUAGUUUGUACGUGGCUAUUUUAGUAAACACAUGAUUAAUUCCUUCCCAGGUCAGUGUGCACACUUCCCUCGCCAUUUGAUUGCUCAGACACCCAGAUUCACCAUUGUUCAGACAUAAGUGGCAGAGCCCCUCCAGUUUUUCUUAAUGUCUGGGACAGACAGUUACGAGUCAACUUUUGCACCAUAAUAAACAAUGCUUCAGUGACUGUUCUCGGAUUAAAUCUUUGUGACUAUAUUUUCCUAUUUUAUUGGGAUAUAUUCCCAUGAGGUAGAAUGGCUGAAGCAAGGGCUGUUUAGGCUAUUUAGGUUGCCACGUUCCCCUUCGGGAAGUUUGGAACAGUUUCUCCUUCCACCACCGUAUCUGAGACCACCAUGGCCCUGUGCCCUCUGCAGCAGGAACUGAGGUAAAUGUGCCUUUUCCAGCCUCUUCUCUUUGGCCCGUGACACAGCACCAGAUGCAUGGCUGUUCUUGGCCUACAUGGCCCUUCUUCAGAGGCCCUCCCUCACCGUGCGCUGUGUAAUGCUCCUAUUGUUUCCCCUUCCAGCCCGUAGUUUCUGUAACACACGUCUCGAAUCAAUUAAAUCGUGAUUUGUGGUGUUUGGAGCUGAGCCUGCAUGGGUCUGGUUCCCUGUUGUGUCCUGGCAGCCAGCAUGGUAUUUCAUAAUGGUCAGAAGCACAGGCUGAAGUCAGAAAGACCUGGAUUUACCAUGGUUCUGCCCCUUUGCUCACCCAGGUCUUCUCUUUCUCAUCUGAGUAUUGGGAGUUAUUAUGUUGCCUGCCUCGCACAAUGAUGGGGAUGUUUAAAUGAGACAUGGUGCGUGAAGAGCACAGCACACAGCUUAACGUAUGGUAAAUCCUUAACUAUUGCUGGCUGCAGUGUGGUUCGUGGGUAGGUUGUGAGUGCUUACUACAUUCCGGGCACUGUUCUAAGUGGUUUGCAUCAGGAGCCGGCCCUGUGGCCCAGCAGUUAAGUGUGCAUGUUCUGCUUCAGUGGCCCGGGGUUCGCCGGUUCGGAUCCCGGGUACGGACAUGGCACCGCUUGUCAAGCCAUGCUGUGGUAGGCGUCCCACAUGUGAAGAAGAGGAAGAUGGGCAUGGAUGUUAGCUCAGGGCCAGUCUUCCUCAGCAAAAAGAGGAGGAUUGGCAGCAGAUGUUAGCUCAGGGCUAAUCUUCCUCAAAAAAGAAAAAAUAAAAUAAAAUAAGUGGUUUGCAUCAGAGAUCUGCAAAGUGCGGCUCAAGGGCCAUAUCACGCCCACUGCCUGUUUUUGUACAGCUAGGAAUGGUUUUCACGUUCCUAAAUGGUUGGAAAAGAACUCAAAAGAAGAAUCAUAUUUCAUGAUACAUGAAAAUUACAUGAAAUGGGAUUUCAGUGUCCAUAAAUAAAGUUUUGUUGGAGCACAGCAUGCCCUUUCUUUUAUAUAUUGUCCAUGGUUUCUGUUACACUAUGAUGGCGGAGAUGAGUAGCUGCGACAGAGCUCUUCUGAUCCACCACACCAAAAUAUUAACUAUCUGGCCCUUUCCAGGAAGAGUUUGAGGACCCUUGGGUUACAUGUGUGAGCUCAUCUAAUCCUGCGUAGUGCAGGCGGGGACUGUCACCAUCCCCUUGUACACGCGGGCAAGUGAGGUACAGACAGGUUAAGAAAUUGCCUCAAGUCACACACAGCUUGUAAGUGGUAGAGCUGGGGUUUGGUUUCUAGGGCUGGGGCUCCCAGUGGUUCCACCAUAGGGUGAGGUUCUUGGUCUUCGCAGGUGAGGGAUAUGAGGCAGAAAGGUGAAGUCAUGCAUUUGUGAGUGGUAGAAUCAGGACUUAGAACCAGGUCCGCUGGACCUCAGAGUUCUUGGCCUUUCUCUUGUAACAGGUUCUUUCUACCCCUCCAGUCUCCUAGCAUCACAAGCUAAACACAGAACCCAACACACAGAGGCCUUUGAUACGUCCUUAAAAUUGCAGGCACUUGAAAGCAUCGAGAUAUAUCCACGAGACCAGAGUCACUUGUGGGUUUUUCUACCCUAAAUGUUUGUGGAAUGAAUGACUGCAUCUGGUGACUAGCUCCUGGCUCUUCAGAGUUUAGACUUCGAGACAGGUCAGGGACUUCUGGGAAAGCAGCAAACCCAGGAACUUCUCAUGGGAAGGGGACCUAGGAGGACGCCAAUUAUCCUUCCAGGGUGGCUGGGCGUUCUUCGGCCACAAUGCCACACGCCUCUUCAGUUAAAAUUCCACUGAAAGAAUACUGCUGUCUUCUCUUUGCAUCACAAUUGUCUUUACUUCUGUUGAUUCUGAAUGUUUCUUUCUUUAAACAGUUUUGUUGAGAUACAAUUCACACACGAUACAAUUUACCAAUCUUAGAACGUUUUCACCACCUCAGAAAGAAAGUCUGUGUGCUUUAGUUGGCAUCUCCCAAUUCCCCUUGCACCCCCAGUCUUAAGCAACCUAUAAUCUACUUUCUGUUGCUAUGCACAUUUCAUGUAAAUGGAAUCAUACAAUAUGUGGUCUUUCAUGACUGAUUUCUUUCACUUAGCGUGAUGUUUUCAAGGUUCGUCCACUGUGUGUCAUGUAUCUAUAUUUCAGUCAUUUCUGUGCCUGAAUAAUGUUCCAUUGUAUGGAUAUGAUGAAUUUUAUUUGCUCAUUCAUCAGUUGGUGGACAUCGGGUUGUUUCCAUCUUUUGGUUAUUAUGAAUAACGCUGCUCUGAAUGCUUGUGUACAAAGUUUUGUGUGGAUCUAAGUUUUCAUUUUUCUUGUUCUGUUAAUUGUUUUAUUGAGGUCAUAUUGGCUUAUAACAUAGUGCAGUAUGUUUUCAUUUUUCUUGAGUAUAUACACCUAGGAAUGGAAUUUCUGGGUACUAUUGUUACUCUAUGUGUACCCUUUUGAGAAACUGCCAGACUGUUUUCCCAGGUCCCUACACUGGUUUUCAUUCCCACUUAGAGCUGCCUGUGCUUGCUCAUCACUCCUGCUCAUCUUUAAACAUAACAGAUUCCAUUUAUAUGAAUUUUUAGAGCACACAGAAUUAAUCAAUGGCGCUAGACGUCAGCACAGUGGUUGCCCCUGGGAGGAGUGCAGAGACGACUGGGAAAGGUGCGGGGCACUUUCUGGGUGAGGGAGACGUUUUGUGUCUUGGUGGUUUAGUGUGUCUGGGAUCUGCAUUAGUCAAACUCACCAAACAGCUCAUUUAAGAUCUGGACAUUUCACUGUGUGUUAAUUAUGCCUAAAAUUAAAAAAAAAAAAGUACAAGUGAAAAAAACAUAGGUGGAGGGGGAAAAAUAAAAAAAUAUAAAUUAUCUCAUGACAUGACUUAUCUUACCCACCUUCUCCUGGACAGAGGGCCUGUGCCUGGCAGGCAAGGCCAAGUGUGAAAAAAAGGCUCUUAAUUGAUGUGAUUAACUGCUUCUCAAUAGGGAGCCUCAUUAACACCAGGAGGGAGGAAAGAAGGUUAUUUUUCACUCUCCCAACUAGGGGAUGGCACUAGAAGGGCUGGUCCUGCCGGUCGGGGAGGGGCAGUGGGAAGUCCUGUUCCAGACCCUUUGGCACAGUAGAGCUGCAUUUCCCAUCAGCAUUAAGAUGCUUUUUUUGUCGAGGGGGCGGUCAUUUUCUCAAUUGCUACAAAACCUAUUCUCCAUUUUCAUCUAUGGGGAAGAAGAAACCAACCCAAUUCCUUUCUUUUUCUUUUGGCAUAUUUUUCAAGGCCAAAUCAUCCACCAGAACAUGGCAUUAAGAUAGAACAUUCUUUAGCCCAUCCUAGUGGCUGAUGAACAGACGACGGGAAACAAACAAAACAGAAGUUAAGGGUUUAAUCUCUUCCCCCUUGGAAUCUGCCGAGAAAUUUAUGAAUUGGCAUAAGUUCACAGAAGAUUAGGUUUGGGCAAGCAUCACUAAUUACCUAAAAAAAAAGUCAAUAUUGGGGCCCGCCCAGUGGCGUAGUGGUUAAGUUCGUGCUUUCAGCUUCUGCGGCCUGGGGUUUGCUGCAGUUUGCUUGGUUCAGAUCCUAGGCGCGAACCUAGCACCGCUCAUCAAGCCACGUUGUGGUAGCAUCCCACAUAAAAUAGAGGAAGAUUGGCACAGAUGUUAGCUCAGCAACAAUCUUCCUCAAGCAAAAAGAGGAAGGUUGGCAGCAGAUGUUAGCUCAAGGCCAAUCUUCCUCAUACACACAUGCACACACAAAAUCAGUACUAUAAAAUUUUUUAUAAAAUUGUAUCGUUUUAUUGGUAGGCUAGAAAAAAGUAUCUUUGGAUAGAAAAAAGCCUACAAGUAUAAACAACACCAUCAUUUUUAGAAGGAUGUUAUUACAUGUGUGUUGUCUUUUCUUAUUCCUUCUCUGUGAUUUAUUUUUUCCACUGACCAUUUAUUGCUUGUGAAUUAAAUUGCUUGUUAAGGAAUUUUUUGGUUCUCCCAUUGAUUGAAUUGAUCACUUUCCUCUGGCUCCCCUCUCUCUAGCGCAGACUCUCCCCUCCCCGCUGUGUUUACAGCUUAUGAACUUCAAGGCAGCAUUGCAUAAGGCAUUGAACAUGAGCUUUGGAAGUCUGCAGGUCAGGGUUGGAUCUUGUAGGUUCUAGGGCAAAUCACAGAUCUUGUCUGUGGCUUGGUUUCCUCAUCAGAAGGAUGGAACUGAUAAUACUCUUCCGGAUGGAUUGAUGUGAAACCUACAUGGGAAAACCCCAGCACAGUGCUUGGCCCUUUGUAUCAGAUCGCUCCUUCUUUUCUAACCUCCUUUUAGCCUGGUACCUUGGAAACCAACACUCAGCUUUAUAAUCGAGAUGACUUCUAACAGCUGGGCGGUAUCUCUAAUCUUUGCAGAAGCUUAAAUACACCUGCACAUAAUGUUGGGGGUGUGUGUGUGUGUGCACACACAAGCAUGUGUGUAACACUUUUGUGUGUGUGGCUCAACAUGAAACAACACCUCUCCUGUGGAUGAGUUAAGACCGCUCACUGCUGGCGCUGGAAUCGAUCACGAGGCAAAGGUAGAAUGAAUUGCAGCGAACACCUGGGUGACGGUGCUAUUUAUAUUCCUUCCUGUGGUACCGUCCCUGGCAGUGGUGGCUUCGGGCUUCAAGCCGUGUGCCCAAAAUGAUGGAAAGGUUCUCUUCCUGCAAAUCACGGUAGUAAGUGCAGCCCCAGGCCGGGGUGUGGGGAGGGCCCCAGCAGAGGGUGAGUCAGGGUUUGCAAACUAUGUUUACUCUGGUGGAACAUGCAGGGCGCACAUGGCAGAAGUGAUUUGCACACAUGCAAAACAGGAGCCACGUGCUGUCCUCUCUGUUUCGCCUCCCCCUCCCUCGUCACCUUUGUCACCCUCCUCCGGCCCGCAGCAGUGCCUCCCCCAGCCCCUUUUCGCAGCUUCUUUUUAGGGCAGUGGUUUUCAAACGUCAGUUUGCAAAUGAUCACCUGGGAAACUUGCUAAAAUGCAGAUUCCUGGGCUCCUCCGUCAGAUUUUCUAAUUCAGCGGCUCUGAGACGGGGCCUGAGAAAUGGCAUUUUCACCAAACAUCUCAAAUAUGUCCAUUUGACCGGGAAGGCACCAUCAGCACGCCUGAGACCUGUCAGUAUUUUGAGGGCCCACAAACAAAUCUGAGAACUGACAUACGAUUUUUAGUUUCAAAAUAGGAAAAGAAAGGUGCAAAAUUGAAAUAAUGAUACCUCUGUAUAUAACUUUACAUCAGUUUGUCGAGUGCAGCUCAACUUCUGCCGUUACAUGGGAAUUACUUUUCAUGUAGGAUCUGGAUAAGUUUGCUAUAUUUGACAUGCUGUAUGUCAGGCCUCCAAAAGCCUUGAAAAAGCACUCACCCCAUGGACCAUGCUCUGAGAAAUAAAGCCCUAGAUGAUUUUCGAUCCGGAAGCACCCUUAGAAAUGUUCUUCUUUAAUGCCCAGGUUUUACUGUAAGGAAAACCGAGGCCUAGAGAGAGAAUGACUCACCCAAGGUCACACAGCAAGUUCCUAAAGAGGCCAGACUAGGGCGCAGUUUUUACAACUUGUGUGCCUGUGCCCAGUGUGCACCGACUUGUUGCGUCCCUGUCGGCAGUUCCGCAUCUCUCUUUCACUGUGGCUUUUCUCCCCUGUGGGACCCGUGUCCUCAGGCCAGUGUGUCACCCAGUGUCAAGCCCUGAGGAGAGGGGAGGAAGGCAGUGGGGGUCUCAGGCAUUGUAUCCUACAAGGCCAGUCUUCAGCUUCAUCCCCUGCAGAGGGAGAAAGGCUGAGUCACUCACUUGAAGCUGAAGCAUGAAAAGCUGGCUCACUUCUCAGCACCCAUUGAGCACCAACUGUGUGCCAGGCAUUGUGCACAGUGAGGGUAGCAGGGAAUAAACCCAAGGUAGCCUCUGCCCUCAGGGAACUUACAUUUAUUCAUUCAUCCAUUCAUCCAGCAAAUAUCUGCUGAGCACCCUACUAUGUGCCUGGCACUCUGAACAGGCAGAUAUGAAGCUUAGAUUCUAGUCAGGGAGACAGGUAAUAAGCAAGAUGGCAGAUCCGUAUGCAAUUAAGACUUUUCAGGUAGUUCCAAGUACAAGGAGAAAAAUAAAAGAAGAUCAUGAGAAAGGAGAGUGGCCGGGUGCAGGGCAUGCCCUGUGGCAGGGUCCACUGACUCCAGUGCUGGGUGGCCUUUCUCCCUGCACACAGACAGCGGCAGCAUCAGCAGGCCACCUAACCAAGGAGGCUGAGUGACGCAUUGGAGAGUAGAUAGUCUCUGGGUUUAGAAACUUGUGGCCUCUCUGAGCUCCAGUGUCCUUAUAGUCGGAUGCUCAUGUUAAUUUCCUAGCUGGCAUUGCUUGAUUCUGUGCUAGGAACGACUUGAAGUGCUUUAUGUGCAUUAUCUCCCUUAGUUGUGCCAGCAUCACGAAGAGGUUAGUAUCCUGCCAGUUUACAGAUGAGGAAACUGAGGCACAGAAGGUAAGUAACUUGCUCACCAUCACAAGCCUCAGGAUUAUGAAACCAGGACACACAACCAGGCAGCUUGCCUCCAGAACCCUCCUGCUUAACCACUGUGCCUUAUGUCCUCUGCUGCCUUCCUCUCCUGACGUAAAGAAGUCCCUGUGACAGUGGGAGGAGAGCGCAGGCUCUGGAGUCAGGCCCAUUCCUUACUGUCUGGGUGCCUCAACCUCUUUGUGCCCCAAAUUUCUCAUUGGGAGAGUGGGAAUAAGGAUCCUUACCUCACAGGGUUGUUGAAAGAGCCAGAGGCAUUGGUAAUAUUUUAAGGUGUUUGGUACUCAGUAUAUGUUUUUAAACAUUUCAGAAUAAAUUCUCGCUACUGGAAGGAAUGAACGGUAAAUUCCAUGUGCCUUGAAAAGUGAUGCACCUAGGGCUUUCAUCUUUUCUGACUCUGCCUUCUGGAGAUUAGAAUUGCCCUCCCUUGCCUGCUGUGACUAGUUCUGGCGAACACGGAGUGAGCAGAAGGGACGUUUCUGGCCGUCUCAUUGAAAUGCUAGUGAGAGACCCUCCAGAGGUCUCCCUCUCUUCUGCCGACUGCUAUAACUUUUGAAAGAGUUUAUUGAGUUCUUUCUCUAGUCCAUUCUGAGGGCUGCCCCCAGGCUGAUCUCCCCAUGAACUUCUCUUAUCUGCUGCAUUACUUUCUGAGGUCUUCAUCCUCUUUUUCCCAGCAUGGACGCCCCUGCCUGGCUUUCAAGGUCCUCAAAAUUCUGGCCCUAACAUACCCUCCCAGGACUUGCAGAUGUUUUCUUUCUAUUCUGGCCUCAAGGGGCUCCUUUUUGGCCACUGAGCAUGCAGACCCCUUCCCGGCUCCAGGCCUAGAUCACGGGCCUCCCUCUUGGAUGCUCCCCCGCACCACCCCAUCCCAUGGCCAUCCUUCAAAUCGGACUCUCAGAGGACUUCUCUCCGCAGCCCACCGUGGCCUACCCACCAUGACCUGCCCUCCUGCACCCAGACCACGCAGGGCCCACACACGAUCAGUCUUUGUCUUGCUCUGUUAUCUUCGACUUCAUUCCUGCGUGCUUAUCUAACAUUCCUCAUGUUGGAGUCUUGACUCCCUAACUAGGUUCCAUAAUCAAGGAAUGGCCUCGGUGUUGCAAUUCUUCACUGCAGUGUCUUAGUGAUAACAGGCCCCUGAGAAAUAAGGUUUUAAAGCAUUAGUUGGAUUGGUGGUACAGGGCUAGGGAAUCGAAGGGGAAAACCAAAGCAAAGGCCCUCUCCCUCUCUUUCAUUGUCCAGUCAUCCCAGCUCUCCCUUCUCCCAGGCCAGACCUGCCUUCCAUGGCUAGCACAGUCCAAGCGUUUAUGCCCACUCCCUGAAACGUUAUGCUUUGAAUCCAAAGGUAACUGUUGAAGCAGCCCAGCUCAAACCACUGCUGCUGUAAACUCUGGAAUAGGAGAAGCGCAGGAUGUGCAGGCUGGAUGAGCCAGGCAGCAAAUCUGCUCUAGGAAGCAGAGGGUGCUUCCCAGGGGAACUGAUGUUUAAGUGGAGCCGAGAAGGAAGUGUGGGAAUUAGCCUAACGGAGAGACAGAGGCAUGCUCAGCGGAGUUCACAGCCUGCAUUAAGGCCUGGGGGGCUCGAGAGCUUGACCAGGGGUGAGCAGGAAUGGCCCGGGGAGGUAAGUAUUAUUCUAAAGAAUGCCCGAAUCCCAGAGCUGUAAUCCACCCAAGUACAGAGCCGUAGCUCGAGCUUCCCCUCCUGCAUAUCCCCUGUCUCUCCAUUCCUCCGGUGUGUGCGUAUAUUUUAUAGAGAUGCCUUCUCAAUGGAUGUGGGAUUUUUUAAUGCAGUUUUUCAUGCAAACAUUCCCAUUUGUUAUUCCUCUGUUUUUCCUUCUUUUCUGGAGGCCUUAGGCUGCCACUCCCCCUCCACCCCCCCCCCCCCCCACUUUCUCAUUGUCCCAUCUGCCACUCCACUCCUCAUGGCUGCCUCUUGAAAGAGAUCUCUUUAUAUGCAGAAAACCUCUUUAAAAAGGUGUGAGUGCCCAUUAAUGGACGGAUCUCAUAGGGGGAACGUAUAGCAUCAGGGAAGUUGGGAGAAGUCCACCUUCCCUGGGAGUCAAAAUGAUGCUCACCAAACACUGUGACCAUGGCAUUCCACUCCCAGUAAGUUACCAAAAAUUAGAAUAACAGGUUUUGGAGUUUAUUCUAAGAGUUUGUGGGGAGGCUGGCACAUGCCUCCAUUGCUGGUGGCAGCAUAAACUAGUGACAAAUAAAAAUGGCAAGUAAUAGGAUAUAUUGGAGUAUAUGAGGAAGCCAUUUGGUGUAAACCUAAUUCGGCCUGACCUUGUCUUUCCAAAAGGGCCUGACCUUGGCCAUGGAGCAUGCAUUGUAUAUGCGCUUAGACAUUCCCUAUGGCAAGAACAAAGGCCCUUGAGAUAAAGGUGCAACUUCCCUCCCCCUCCCAACAUUGGCAUUUCCUUAAGGAUUAAGCAUCUUUCCUUAGGCUAGGAACUGAUUGCUGCGCUCACCUGUGGCCACCCAGGUCAAGACAAUAGACUUGCCUCCUGCUGCGCCUGCCGAGAUAGCAGACCACUACCUGCUGCGUCCAUCGAGCGCUGUGCCAACAGGGCAAUCUUGUGACUAUUGUGGGAGGGACAUUUCAAUCCUAUGUGAAACGUCCUGCUUGGGGGUAUAUAACCACUCUGUAUACCUCACUUCUUUGGUGCACUUUCUUAUUCGGGAAGAAAGGCCCCAGGCCAUGGUCCUCAGAUUUUAGCUCAGAAUAAACUCUCCCAAAUUUUCAUUUAUAGAUUGGUUAUGAAUUAUUUUCGUCGACACUAGUCUUUUGGAAAACUUAUUUGUCAGGAGUUAUCAAAGCAUCACUUGGAGCUUGUACCCCUAUUUGGGGAAUGUAUUUCAAAGACUCGUUCCAGGAGAAGAGAAGAUAGUGGUGGGCAGGAAGGGGUUUUUUGAAGCCAGGUGUAUUUAGGGGCACAAGUUGAAGCAAAAUGGUGCCCAGGGACACAUGGUACUUCGACAACACUGAAUCUUUCCCGGACACCUGAGGGAUCAUGAUGGAGAAGCGGUGGCCACCUUAAGGAGAGCAGUGACAAUCUGUGAUGUGGCGAUCGCAUACAGCAUUAUGUCCUUCCUGGGAUUAUGGAAGGUUAUAGAGAGAGAUCAGCUCUUUGUUGGAAAUAUGAAGAUUUUGCUUACUUGGGGUCAUAGGAGUAUGAUAAUUUCUUCUUCUCUUCUUCUCUUCUGUCUUCUAAUCUCUUCUCUUUUUGGUAACCUUCCUUAUACAGUUAAAAAAAUGAUUCAUUACCAGAGAAGAAAAGAAAAAGGAAUAUAUAUGUGGGUUGGUAGGGCCUCGUGUACCCCUGGGACUGGUGUUGCGGGGAGCCUGCUCUCAGACAUGUCCCAGGAUGUCAUAGGCGCUCCAGGGUGAAGGAGGGGGUGCUGCAGCCAGGUAUGAGGACCUGUAUGCCUCACCCAGCGAGAUGAGCUGCUAAGCCCCCAGCACAGUGUCUUAUACAAGCUCAGCUCCGUGAGGGACGUGCCUCCUUCCCCCAAAUAGUCAUCAUUGUGCUUUUCGUCCUUCCCCUGUCAUGUCUCAUUGAAACCUCAUCAUAAUGGUGCCAGAUGGGUCAUGUAAUAAUGCCCAUUUGACAGACAAGAAGGCUGAAUCCUUAGUUGACAUGGAGGAAGCCUCUGUUGUAUUCACACUCAGGCCAUCUGCACACAUCCCUUUGGAUGCUCACACAGCAACUCUGCAGGGCCGCCCUUCGUAUCUGCUUUAAAAGAUAUGAAGUUCCACGAAGGGCAAACUGAGGCUUGGUUAAGUUACUUGCCAGGCAGUAACUCAUGGGAAGCCAGGAAGACUCAUGGGAACAUUUAUCCCUGGGUUUUCUGACUCGAAAUGUGGUUGUGUUUUUUCCUUUUGAAUUCUGUUAUGAAAGCCCCCUCCAUUUGAGACACAUUAUCAUAGGUCUCUGCAAGAACCCCUUUUGCUUCUUUUCCUCUUCUCCCUCGUUCCCAGCCCCUUCGCUCCUCUCAGGCACCCACUGUGGUGUGUUUGCUGUAUGCCCUGCAUGUGUACCUACUGUACUGUUCUGAAUGAGUCUCUGUUUUUAAUUUAGACACAGGGAUUCUGUUCCAGAUCCCCUUCUGGUUUUCUUUUUACUAAGUACUAUCUUUUUUAGAUCCUUUCAUGUUGCUUUGUUUAGCCCAGAUGAGAGGCUGCAUGGCCCCUUCUCUGGGCAAAGGCCGUGCCCUUCACCUCUCUUGUCCCCUGCUUUUGGACACUACGGAUGCCCAGCCAUGAACCCCUCGCACCUGUACCGUGUGGACUGUGGGAGAGUUUCCCUGGUACGGACACAGGGCUGGGGUGGAUGAGUCAUUGUGCACAUGCACACUUAAUUUCACAAGCUGUGCCAGAUUGUUUUCCAGAAUGACUACAGUUUGUGCUUCCACUGACAGCGCUCAGGGUUCCUGUCUCCCCACGUCCUCCCCAGCACCUGGUAUCAGCAGGUGUAUCAGAAAGGAUGCAUUUGAUAGCUCAAGCACAUCAGGGUGCUGGAUUAGCAUCGCAGUGAUGCUCUUUUUGCUACAGACAUCACCUUAUCAAAACAGCAUUUUAAGUAGAAAGAAUGUCAGGCAGGAAAAGGAGGUGUUUACUGCAAUUCUCUAUCUUCUAUUAGGGAAGAAAAUUUCCCCCAAAAUCCCCAGUAGACUUCCUUCCCCUUAUGUCUCAUUGGCCAGACUGGGCUAGAUGUCUUCCCCAGGCCAGCCCUGACCAAGAGAACAGGAUUGCUCUGGGCUCCGUGUACCUUUUCUGAGCACAGUGCUGUCUGCCCAGGACCUGGUGGAACUGGGAAUAUCUGAAUAAGGAUGAAGAGGGCAGCGGAGCGUGGGUUACUCAGCCACCCAUAGACACUUCCACACCAGAUCUCUGAUUUUGCCAAUUUCUUUUUUUGUUUUUUGUUUUUUUUAGGAAGAUUAGCCCUGAGCUAACAUCUGCUACCAAUCCUCCCCUUUUUGCUGAGAAAGACUGGCCCUGAGCUAACAUCCAUGCCCAUCUUCCUCUACUUUCUAUGUGGGACGCCUACCACAGCAUGGCCUGUCAAGCGGUGCCAUGUCCACACCCAGGAUCCGAACCAGCAAACCCCGGACCGCCGAAGUGGAACGUGUGCACUUAACCGCUGCACCAUGGGGCCGGCCCCUGAUUUUGCCAAUUUUUUUUGAGCACAUGCUUCCUCUUCUAUACAAGAGAUCUUCCCCCCGAAUCUGUGUGACUACCCAUUUGUAGAGAGUUUCUGAAACGGUGAGGAAACUACUGCUCAGAGAUGUGAAAUAACUCAGCAGAGGUCACACAGCUAAUAAGUGACAAACAGGAAUGUCCAAGCAGUGAAGGUCAUUUCCAGUCGCCGAGUCUUUCACAAGCCCAUGUCUGGACCGGGACAUCUCAUGUCUCAUCGUGAGCAGGAGACUGGAAAAUAACUGGCCGGAGGGGAUAGGCCCAGCAGUAACACUGGCCCAGAGAGAAUUGAGUGCUUUUUCCCGGUGACAAGAAGACACACGCAGCUGGAAAAAGGAGCCUAGGCCGUCACCAUGUUCCCCAAAUAGCAGAACACCUCCCUCCUUCCCACCUUCUCUCCCGUGGCACAGAAUACGUUUUACCAGGGAUCGGUCACUGCUGAGCUGUCGUCACUUAAUGUGGCUUUGACAGAAUAGUUGGUCUGGAAAUCUUAUUUUCAAUUAAAUGACCUUAUUGAACUGCCUUGGUUUUGAAAAGAUUCCAUUAGGAUGGCUAAUUAUAUAGCAGUUGCUCCAAGGAGAUGCUGGCACUCCAUUUCAGCUCUUAAGUAAUUCGAAUCAAAUGCUGUCUUCUUUCCUCCUUGGAGCUGUGAGCGACCGUCUUCCUCUCACACUGCAGGCUUCUCGUGAGUUAUUUUUGGAAAUCCAAGUCAAAACAGCAAUUUUGGCAGAGGCCAUUUCUAGCCUAGCAGAGUAAACCGUAUGUACUGAUAAAAACAGCCGAAGAGUCAGUGCCUUUAAAAAGCAACUAAACCAUCUCCUUCUGUGGGGGUUAAAUUUGGGGGACCUCCAAACUGUCCUUUGUACUGUCCUAUUCCUUCGUGAGCUCUAACUGAAGUCAAAGACAUUGGAAUUCCUUUAAGAUUAGCAAAGCUUUGUCCGUUUGCAAACUGUCAUCAUGGUCAUUUUGUUUCAAGGUGGCAGGCCUUGGCAGAAUUUACCAGGCACUCUGUUUUGGCCUCUGGAUCUCCCCUGAAACGUGGAAAUCACUUUCUGUUCCCAUUCUGUGCUGUUUGCUUCUGUCACCAGAGCACUCGCGACAUUCCUCGCGACAUUCCUCGUUACGCAUACCAAGCAGUCAGAUCUUCCUGCUCACCCGUUAGAACGGAGCUUCUUGUGGCCAGGGGCUGUGUUUUUCAUCUUAUUUCCUUCCUGGCCCAUAAUAGAUGCUCAAAUAGUUGGAUGAAUAGAUAGACUAGAUAGAUGAAUGAAUAGAAUCCUAUUUCUAUUUUUCUCCUUUUUAAAAAAAAAAUCAAUCAUUUAUUACAUAAAUAGUAAAUGAAUGUUUUCACCUUGGGGGGAAAAAACAGUUUCCAAAUAAGGUUAAAGUCCUUUUUUUUUUUUCCAGUUUUCUUUUUUUUUAAAGAUUGGCACCUGAGCUAACAACUGUUGCCAAUCUUCCUUUUUCUUUUUUCCUGUUUUUUCUCCCCAAAUCCCCCCAAUACAUAGUUGUGUAUUUUAGUGGUGGGUCCUUCUAGUUGUGGCGUAUGGGACACCACCUCACUGUGGCCUGAUGAGCGGCGCCAUGUCUGUACUCAGGAUGCGAAUCAGUGAAACCCUGGGCCGCCGAAGCAGAGCACACGACCUUAACGACUUGGCCCCAGGGCCGGCGCCUGAAGUCCUUUUUUGAUCACUGCCCAUGAUCCUUGUUUCCCCAUCAUCUCUGCUUAGGUUAUCCCUUUGGAGCACAUCCUCACAGACCUCUCUAAUGCGUUUAUGUACACGCACAUACACACACACAGAGUACUGUUUUUGUAGACCUGUGAUAAAGAGAUUAUUCUGCAACUUGCCUUUUCCUACUCAGCAAUAUAUCAAGUGCUAUCCAUGUCAGCUACCUUAUUCUUUGUAACUGCUACAUAGUUUUAUUACGUUGUGUGGCUAUAAUACCUUUUAUGUGGACCAAAUAAAUAAAUUCCUUAUCUGUUUUCAUGCUCAUUAUAGUUCAGGAUCCCUUCUCCUGUAUAUGUUGACAAACUAACCCUGUCCACUGCUAUCUUUUGGUAGCUACAGUACAUUUCAUCAGAAUCAGCCAAUUGCCCUGGGGAUUUUGCUAAACCAGUAGACAGAAUCAUGAGAAAUGAAAUGAGGGUUGCCAGAGGGACCUGAAUUCCCUUCUCUGCAGAAGCUAGGGAAGUAGGUGCACUCUGCACUGGGAAUACCACAGGUCUGGAGAGCGAGGGAUGUUAGAUUUCCUCGGGCAGGUCAUUUCCUAUCCCUGGACCUUAUUUUUCUCAUCUGCCCAAUGGACUCAGUGAGCCUCUUUCAACUGUUAGACCCUGAAUAAUAGGGCUGACACAGUGCCACCAGAACGGAUAAACAGAAUAUAUUAACUCUCUCUCCGCUAUGUGGCGGGAUGGGAAAGGGGCACGUUAAAAAUACUUUUUACGGGCCGGCCCCGUCGCCGAAUGGUUAAGUUCAUGUGCUCUGCUUUGGUGGCCCAGGGUUUGGAUCCUGGGCGCGGACAUGGCACUGCUCAUUAGGCCAUGUUGAGGCAGCAUCCCACAUGCCACAACUAGAAGGACCCACAACUAAAAUAGACAACUAUGUACUGGGGGGAUUUGGGGAGAAAAAAAAAGCAGGGAAAAAAAUAGAUUGGCAACAGUUGUUAGCUCAGAUGCCAAUCUUUAAUUAAAAAAAUAUGUAUUUUAAUUAUAUUUUUAUUCUAUUUUAAUUAAGAUAAAUUUUAAAAUUUUAAAAUAGAGAUUCAGCCCAGAGCCCUUCACUGUGUUCAUGUCACAAAGAGUCUGUGAUUGGCCAGGAAUGCACUGCCUCUAGAUCUCACACUUCUCUCUUAUUCUUUUCUUAUCCAAUUAAAAUGUUUAUAUUUUUUCCUUUGCUUUGUGUGGUCUUUUUGUCCUAAGCAAGGCAAUCGGGUGUUGGGGAGAGAGAUUAUGGACUCCUGAGUUCGACCAUCAGGUUUGUCUAGUUCUAGCUGUGUGUUCUUAGACAAGUCACUAACCUUCUCUGGGUUUCCAUCUAUUAAUAUGGUGAUUCCAAAUUAGCCAAGUAUUCAGUAAAAAAAACAAAAACAAAAGGUAAAACCAGACUCGCUUGUGAAUGUUUCAUCUGGCAUUUAUGAACCUUGUCACCUGCGGAUAGAUCAUCUCGUGAAUUGAUGAGGCAUCCUAAGAGACCACCAAAACUCAUUAAAUAGUCUUGGUUCACAUGAGAACUGUGCAGCUGCUCUGGCCCCUGGUGACACACCAAGUGUCAGUGGGUUCUGAGGGAGGCCCAGGGAAGGUUCUGUGCUGCCAUGAUUCAUAGGUUGAGUUUCCCUCUAAGCUUCAAGGCUUUGAUCACGUGUCCCCUGCUUUGAGAUGCAGGACCACAAGGGUCACAGGAUCUGAUUCACACACUGGUGGGUUUCCCUUGGGGUCCCCAUCAGGCUUUCCCAUGUAGGGUGAGAGUUCUCGUCCCUUGUCUUGGCAUUACACAUUGAUCUGGAGACACCAUGGUUCUGCAGGUGAAAGGUUGGGGUGAAUGGGUGUGAAAAGUGCGUGGGAGUCACAGCCCCAAAAGGUCUCUGGGAGUUUGUCUUUCCUGCUCCCAACACUGUUUUGCAUCUCUACCGUGAGCUUCUGUUUCUGAGCACCCCUUGAGCUAAGCUGAUCUGUUGAGCCGAUCUGUGGAGGAAUGAGGCCACUGUGAGCUACCUGCCGGGGCAGGUGACCUCACCCCUCCCAGCCUCUGCUUCCCACCCCGCUGGGUCUUUAAUAUGAAAUGAGACUGCAGUAGGUGCUGAGCUCGCAUCACCUUCCCAUUCCGCUUUCUGAUAUGGAAAGCAUCAUUUUAUAGGCUCUGAAUCUGUGUUCUGAGCUUCCAAAAGCCUACUGUAAACAUUUUACACAUUAACCAAAAUAAAACAAGAAGGCAGCACAGUGAAUGGAGAGAAUAUUAUUAGCAUGUUACACAUCUUAAAUUGGUAAAAAAAAAAAAAAAAGGAAUGAUGGAUCAUUUUCAUUUACGACUCUCACUCCCUGCUAAUUUUUCAGCAGCUCUCUCCUCGUCUCAAUAAAAUGCUGGAAAUCUAGUUGGCAUUGUUGCAAGUAAAUGCAGAGCCAGUCUCGACUGUCGCGCUGUCUCUCCCUGUAUUUGAUCCUCAUCCAGGUGAUCGAUACCAUUUUCAUUCAUAAUCCGGAAACUUUAAGAAAUGAAUCAGCUUGACCUAUGAUUCACAGAUACUUGAUCUGAAAUACUUGAUGUGGUUGUGAGGGGGUGGGAGGUAGAGUCAGAAAUAAAUUCCGUUGACCCCGAAAGUCAGCUUAGGUGAACUAGUAUGGUGGGGGAGGGCGAAUUAUCAUCCUGUGGUUUGUGUGGAUGGUUCCUGCUCUCAGGGAGCUGCACUGUAUUGGGGGGACUUAAGGUGGCCACACAACCAGGGUUGAUGAAAGAAUUCCAGGUUAUGCCCGUUGCUGCAGCCUCUUAGACGGUUAACGUGCCCUUCCACUAGCAGAAGUGUCACAGUGUGGAAAUAGAGGGUUCUGAAGAGACUAGACUGGGAGUUCUUAAAGGUCAGAGGUCUCAUUUUAUUCAUAUGUGCAUCCCCAGCGCCUGGCCUCUCGUAAGCAGUUAAUAAAAGAAAGACUUGCUAGGUGGGUGAGUGAGAACGUAAGUAGAUUCUUCACCUCCACUCUCUGAAUUUGGUCUCUGAAUUUCUGUUUCCCGUUUAUCUUUGUGUGCUCGGGCCGCUAGGGUGCCUCUACUGCGUUUUGACUGAACCAGAGAUUUCAGAACUUCAGCUGGGAAUCGCUUUGGUUGCAUGUACACGCCCUGGUGACCUGUAGCUUCACGACUUGCGGUGCGUUAUCCAAAUGAGUUUAUAACUUACCGAAGUACUGAAAACAGUGGCUUCCAUGAUGUCUCCUCCCAAGAAAUGGUGGUGGAGGUGGAGGUGAUGCUAUUCUUGUUAGCUGUCUGUCUUUGCUGCCUCUUGUCUUUUCUCCCCUAGCUAGAGGAUUCAUAGACCUUUAAAUACAUAUGUAUUUCAAAAAUAUAAGAAAUUGGAAAAAGAGAGUCAGAAAGCUAUCCAUAAUGUCAUGACCCUUGGUUACAUAGUAGCAAUUAUUAUUAAUGUGUGACUUGUUUUAUACAAAGUUUUUUACAUAGUUGUUAUCUUAAGGAGUUUUCCACUUUUUCUUCCAUCUGUAUUUUUCUGCAAGCAUUGCCCAUGUUAUUUGAGAACCUAUUCAACUACCAUUUGUUACUUUUAUCCAUAUGGUUGCUGGUAGAUGGUUGUUUACUUUUUUCCCUUUCGUAAAAGAAAUUUUCCUUCUGGGCUGUCCUGUAUCUCAAGAAAAUCUCAAAAGUGAAAUUAUUGGAUCAAAAGAUAUGAAUGUUGUUAAAUUAUAUGUAUAUCUAUAUUUAAAUGAAUAGAAUUUAUUUUUUAGAGAAAUUUUAGGUUUACAAAAAAUUGCGUAGAAAGUACAGAGAGCUCCCACAUCCUAGCCCCACCCCCAUUCCCCAUAUUGUUAACAUCUUGCAUUAGUAGGGUGCAUUUGUUACAGUUCAUGAACCAAAACUGAUACUUAUGGCUAAAGUCCAUAGUUUACAUUUAGGAUUCUGUGUUAAAUGGUUCUUUGGGAUUUUCGCAAAUGCAUAAUGUCACGUAGCCACCAUUAUAGUAUCAUGCAAAAUGGUUUUACAGCCCUAAAAAUCCCCUGGGCCCCUGUUAAUCCCUCCCUCCCUCCCUCUCUCAAACCCUUCGCAACCAGUGAUCUUCCACUCUUUCCAUCGUUUUGCCUUUCCCAGAACGUCAUAUAGUUGGAAUCACACAGUAUGUAGGCUUUCAGACAGGCUUCCUUCACUUAGCAGUAUGCGUUUAAGAUUCCUCUCCGUGUCUUUUCAUGGCUUGAUGGUUCAUUUCUUUUUAGGGCUAAAUAGUAUUCCGUGUCUGGAUGUACUACACUUUAUCUGUUCACUUACUGAAGGACAUCUUCAUUACUUCUAAGUUUUGGCAAUUAUGAAUAAAGCUGCUAUAAAUAUUCGUCUGCAGGCUUUUGAGGGGACAUGUUUUCAACUCAUUUGGUUAGACACCAAGGAAAGUGAUUGCUGGAUCACAUGGUAAGACUAUUUCUGUAAGUAACUGCCAAAGCUUUCUAUUUUUUACGUUUAUUCAACAGAUUUUAGUUGUAAUACCAUGAACAUGGUUAAUCCUCCAUCUACACUUAGUGUUAUAAUGAACACCCUCUCCUCAGUCUUUUUUUGUGUGUGAGGAAGAUUGGCUCUGAGCUAACAUCUAUGCCAAUCUUCCUCUAUUUAUUUGGGAUGCUGCCACAGCAUGGCUUGACGAGCAGUGCUAGGUCCACGCCUGGGAUCCGAACCUGAGAACCCUGGGCCACCAAAGCAGAGCACAUGAACUUAACCACUAUGUCAACAGGCUGGCCCCCUCUCCUCACUUUUAAGCCUACCGCUACCAUGUCACACAGAGAUGCUCAGAGUGGUGUUUUCAUCUGGAUCCAAGUAUAUUGUGGCCACAAAGUCUCAUAGCAUAAAAAUAGCAACAACAACAAUAAUAAUCUUGAUGAUAAUAAUAGCCAAGAAUUAUUGAUUACUUAGCAUUGUCAGGCUCUUUACAUGUGUUAUUUCAUUUCACCAUUACAGCUACCCUCUGGUUAGGUACCAUUACUACCCACAAUUUGGAGAUAAGAUCGAGGCUUAGGGAGAGUGAAUAACUUGCACAAGUGUUAGUGGUAAAGCCAAGUGUGCGUCCAUCUAGUUUUGCUCGACUCUGCUCAGCAAUGUAUUAUGCCAGAGUUAAGAGCAUGAGAUUUAGAGUCAGAUGGACGUAGGUUAGUAUUCUGGACCUACCAUUUUGCCAGUCAUGUGAUCUUGACCUGGUGACUUCUAGCUGCAGUGUGCCCAUCUGUAAAAUGGGAUAAUAACACCUACCCAUGGCAAAUGCUGUCUGUUGUCUCCUCAAUAGCUAUGGCCUCCCCACCACACAGAACCAGGUUCAGGUGUUAGGGAAGAGGCCCCAGAUCUCAGGGAAGAGAGGCCCCAUCCCAGCCUCCUGAAAUGAAUCAAGAUUGGUUUAAGUCAGAUAUGGUAAUGGUGGGCAUGUUAUCUAGUUUUGUUGGGGUAAGCAUGCUAGGGAGGGGUUCUCUUCCCAAGUAAAAAGACAAAGCCCCCCAUAGGGGAAGCUCAUACUUAUCUUUUCUUCCUGCCUGGAUGUUGGGCAUGAUACCUGGAGGUGCAGCAGCCAUCUUGCAAGCCUAAGCUGACAAGCUAAUAGACUAAAAUGGUAGAGCAGAAAAGAUAGAAAGAGCCUAGGUCAUUGACAGCAUCGUUAAGCUGUUCGACCAGCCCAAGACAGAAGACUACCUCCACGCUUUUUGCUAUUGAAACAGUUCUUACUUGUUUAUGCCACCCCAAGCUGAGUUGUCUUCUCUUUGCAGCUGAGAGCAUUUCUAAUAGAUAAACAGUUUUCCACCAAAGCACAGGGUUGAGUAACUUAGUAUGAUGGUUGAGAGCCCAAAUUCUAGACUUGGAGUUCUGGGGUUUUAUUCCUAGUUCUUCCACCAACCAGCUGUGUGACCUGGACAAGUCACUGAGCUUCUCUGUGCCUCACUGUCCUCAUCUGUAAAAUUCCCAAUAAAUGUGUACUGGGAUCGAAUGAGGGAUAAUAGUGCUACUUACCUCCCAAGAUUAUUAUGAGCGUUCAUAAAAUGACUAAGUAUUUUAUAAAAUGACUAGAGCAUAGCCCGACACAUAGUAAGUGGUUAUACGCAUGUUUGUCAAAAAAAAAACAAUUAAAGAAAAGGAGUCACUAUUACUGGCUUCAGUUUGAACCCCGAUGUGAUCCUUGGGCCACAUGCAGUAUUCAAGCAGAAGCUUGACCCUUUCACUCCCCAGACUCAUGGAGCAUGAAGCUCCCACUAAAAUCUGUCUCAAAGCAGCAACAGGUGGUUUCUUUUUAACAGAAAAGAUUCCUUAGAGCAGGUUGACUUAAAACAGGAGGGGCUGUGAUAUCAAGGCGUGUCAGGGAGUGAAUGACCGAAAUACCCAAACUUGCCCAUGCAAAUGGCUCUGAGUCUCCCCUGACUGCCCUUUAGAAGGUUCUAGACUUCUGUGAACUCCUUUUUGAAAGGGUCUUUCCACCAGUGGCUUAUUCUUUUGAAUCUCCUUACACCUUUCUUGCUGGUGGCUGGUGGGUGGGAGUGGGGAGGAAGGGGUGACACCUGCCUGCGUUCGGGGCCCUUUUCCCUUGUGAGGGACGAGACCGCUGGCCAGUAUGUGAGGGAGCUGGCUGGACCUGGUCUCUCUCACUGUCUACUGCCCACAGUGCCAUCCUCUGUAAAGAGCAGAUUUGAAUUUGGGCAGCAACUCAGCAUUUUUUGGAAACCUAUCUCGUUUGUGAGCUUAAAGAUAGACGUGCCCAUUACCAAAUCCAGUGGAAUCUUCCUUCAAAAUAUAUGCCUGUUCCACUCCUCACCCUCGCCUCCAGAGACAGUCCACACCAGGCCACCUCCCCUUCUGCCUGGAUUACUGCCUCGUAACUGGCCUUCCCGUUUCUACCCUCCCCUUCCUUCUCCCUCAGCAGCCAGGGGACCCUUUAAAAAUGUCAACCAAAUCAUUGGACUCACCUGCUGAGAACCCUCCAAUGGAGUCCCAUCUCACUUGGAAUAAAGUCCUCAGUCCCUACUGUGCCCUACGAGGCCCUCCCUGCCACCCCCGCUCACUCUACUCUCCCCACUGGCCUGGCUGUCAGUCAAACAUACCUAAGCACAGGCUGGCCUCAGGGCCUUAGCACGGAAUGUUCCCCUUUUUCCCUCUAUACCUGCCUGGCUCAUUUCCUCACCUCAUUCAGAUCUCUGCUCAGAUGUCAACUCCCAGAGAGGCCUUCCCUGGUCACCCCCUCUAACACAGGUCCCCUCACCCCUCAUUUUCUGUCGUUAUCUAUAGUUCAUAGACUUGCUGACAUUAUUACAAAUUUGGUGACUUUCUGCCUUCCCCAUCAGAAUAUAAGCCCUACAAGGAAAGAGGCAUUGUUUUGUUCAUUCAGGUACCCACAGAACCCAGAACAUUCUGCAAUUGGUGCUCAGUAUAUAGUAAACUAGAUAAAGCCUUUUUUUGGACAGAAAUAAGGUCUGUCUGACAAAGUUCUAAGCCUGAUGUCUCUUGUGAACCUGCCAAGUUGACCCUGAAUCCACUUCCCGGAAAGCUCCAGAUACAUUCUGGAUGAUGGGAGCAACGCCGGACCAGUGUUGAACAUCCCAAAGCAAGUACUUUGAGAAUGAAAGUGUGGGAGCCUGGAUGACUCCUCCUGCAUUUGUCUAAAAAUCCUCCUUAGCACCUUUAGUUCCUUUUCUCCCUUCCUCUGCUCCUGGGCACCAGACAAGCAAUCCCAAAUGUGGUGUCUUUGCACCGGUCAGAUCAGAGUUCUCAUCUGGGGUGGUUUAAAAACAACAUGGCCCCAUUCCUUGACAUUCUCCCCUUUGAAAGAUGGGAUCUGGGUCCUUUCCUUGAGUGUUGUGAUGGCUUCAAGCAGUAGUCACACAAGGGCACGCAGCUCCUGCCUGGUUUCUUUGGGAUGCCAUUCUGGGGAAGUACUCAGACUCCGUGCUGAAGAAGCCACAUGUACAUGCCCUGGUCCAUGGUCUCAGCUGAGCUCGCAGCCAGCACCCAGCACUGGCCGACAGCCAUGCCGGCUGCCAUCUUGGAUGUUAGGACCAUUUGCACUUUCAAAUGACCACAGCCCAGUGACAUCUGACUACAGGGUCAUGAGAAACACCCAGCCAAGCCCUUCCCGAAUUCCUGACCAAAAACUCAUGAGUAACAUAAAACGAGUAUUGUUUUACAACGCUAAGUUUUGCAGUAACUUGUACUCAGGAAUAGUAACCAGGACGCCACCCUAACCCUUCCCUAUGGACUAAGCAAUCUUGAGCAAAUUUCCUUUAAUACUCUGGGCAUGAGAUUUCUCAUGUGUGAGUUUGGAGUGACAGUCUAUAUUUAUGUGGCUGUUGUUUAGAUCAAAAGCAAAUUUUGUCUCAAACCUAGCAAGGUUCCCAGCACAUCCUGCCUUUCCUCAAAUCUAAGAUGCCGUCCAUUAUACAACUCACACUUAACUUAUGUGCCACUAAGAAAGAAACAAAUGCUUUCUAUUAAACUACUGAAUGCCACUGGUUGUAGGACACACACCUGUCUGGGAGAUGUUGAAAUUUGCAAAGAUGUGUAUCUUAGGAUCUUUGAUUUAAAGAGAGAUUAACACAAUCAUCUAGUUAAGUACAGGCACAGAACAAGACCACCGAGAUUUGAGUUUGUGAGAAACGGGGAACUUAAAGCAAAUGUGUCUUUGUAUGAAAGUCUCUAAUUUGCUGUCCCAUUUUACACAAUAGAAUGCAAAGAUCAGUAGAGACAACCUUGUAGUUCAGGCAGAAAGCACCUUCCUCAGGCAGCUGUCAAAGGGUUAGAAUUCAAAUGACAUGGCAUCACAGUUAUUUAACAGAAAUGUAUCUUGCAGAAGAAAGGAAGUCAGAUCCCUAAGUGUGGCUGUGAGUAAUAGUUUUUCUUAGUGGAAACUCACCUCUAGUAAUUAGUAAUAGACCAACCCCCUUUUCUCUUUGGUUUUUGAAUCGUUUCUUUUUUAGAACAUUAACUAGUAGUUCCGUGAGAGAUGUCAGCCAGUGAGCAAAAGGGGUCUGGGCAGUGAGCAGGAUGGCAGGAGACCCAGGCCACAUCUAGUGGAGCAGAAACACAAAGAAGCAUCAGAGUGUCAGCAGACUUGAAGCUAAGCCUGAAUAUGGAGUGCCUCAUUUAGUCAGUUCAGCCACGCAGAGUGUUCCUAUGUUGGCCCUCAUUUGAAAUGUGAGCCCGCUUCAGGACCAGUGAAGUGGAAUGUCUUGCUCAAAGUUACAUAGCUUGGUUCAUUAGACAGAGAGCCUAUGCUCUUAGCCACAGUGCUGUGUGCAUCAAAAUGUUUGCAAAGACAUGGAAGUGGGUUCAUAUGAGACUCUAGCCGGCCCAGGACUCUCAGCACAGCUAUCUUUCCAGCCUUACCCAAACAGGGAAUUCCUUUUCAUACCUCCUUGCUUUUGCCAAAGGGAGUUUUCUACCAAUCAGUUUCUUCUUGCCUCCCCCUUUUCCUGGUGAAACCAAACCAUCCUUCAAGGCCCAGCUCAAAUGGGGCAUCUUAACCCUUGUUCCUACAGGGUGAUUCCUAGCUGCCCUGGACUCCCAGGGCAUUGUCCCCGGGGCCCCUUGGCUGGCCCUCCUGGUGGUGUUGGUGGUUUCUGUUGGUCACACCUAUGAGACUGGAAGUUUCCUGAGGCUCUGGAAUUAGACUGAGUCAGAAUCCCACCUCUACAACUUACAGCUUGUGUUCUUGGGCAAGUUUCUUAGCUUUCUGGGCUUUAAUUUUCUCAUCUACAAAAUGAGAAUAUCAACUUCCCAGGAUUGUCAUGAAAAUUGUGUGUUUGCUGAGAUGGCAUCGUGAGGGCUGAACACUGUUCUUAUGUGAGAGGCGCUUGCUCAGUCUCUGCGUGCGUCAUCUCCUUUCGUCUUCACGCCCACCCUCUGAGGUUGGUUCUUUUACCAUCAUGCCCAUUUACAGAUGAGGUGACACCGUAUGCUCAUGGCCCCACAGCCAGAAUGUGACAAAACUGGGCUCUAAUCUUACCUUUUAAAACUCGCCUCUCUUGACAGGAUCCCGGCGGAAACCUUCCAUGGACUGCAUUCUGAGGAGGUUUUGUCACGUACCAACCUCUUUAGAUGUGCUUUAAUUUGGGUCUUAAUUUCCAACUCAUUCUUAUCUAGGAGAUCUUUACCCUGAUUUGAAGGAAAAUGAUGCUGCAACCAGCUUAGUCUCAGUAGAAGGUUUACACACAGCAUGUGCCAAUAACAGGUACUUCCACCCUUGGGCUCUUCCGGGUGGUGACUUAUCAGCACCACAAUUGUCCAUUUAUAUUGUGAACCAAACACAUGGAUCAGACUAUUGGCCUUGAAAAGCUCAAGCACAGCCUUCAGUGAAAUUCAGUUUCCACUUCAUUCUUUAGUCCAAAGGUUGUGACAAUGGCAGUCUCCGUCUCCCUCGUAUGACUUGGCUGGUUGGGUUUCUCUCUGGUUGACUGUAUUCCUGGCCUCUUGGGGACCCUCUAAAAUGGCAGGCAGAGGAAAGGAGGCAUUUCUGUGUGCUGCCUUCAUUUGUUCCUCAAGGGGUUUCGGCUAAACUCCCUAAACAAAAUGAAUUUGAUUUUAUCUGCCAGAGAACAUUCUAAGUAAAAAGAUCAAGAGCCAUCACCCCAUUGAGCUCUCUCCCCACAUCUCGAGAAGGCUGGGCUCCUUGGAGUGGAGAGUGGGCUGGGACCCCAUUCUGGCAGCAUAGCGGAGAUCUUCCUGCCUCAGUGUGGAUCUGGUGAAUGCUGAGGGACUCAGGGUGGGCUCCGAGGUGGACUCAUUGUCCCAGCUCACUGUGCAGACAGGGCAGUAAGUGCCAGGCCUGGGACUGUGGCCGUAACCUUGGCCGGUGGUCGGCCUUUACUUUCAGCAGCAGCAGAGGGAUCGUAACUGUGGUAGAGAAGGAUGUCGAGGCAGAAAUUGUUGAGGAUCUACACUGUGUCAAGCACUGAGAGAGUUUCUUCAGAUAUUUGGGAUUUUGAACGUAUCUACUCUUCUAAUUUAUUUCCAUCGUCCUCAGAGAACAUGUUCUGUGUGAUUUCGCUCCUUUGAAAUGUAUUGAGAGUGAUCUCGUGGUUCAACAUAUGGCCUGUCUUGGGGAACGAUGCAUGUGAACUUGAAAAGAAUGUGUCCUCUACAGGUUUGGGGUGGCGUGUUCCAUAGACAUUGGUUGUGAAAGACCCAGGACUCCGCCUGGUACAGAACAAUCUUCACUCUGCGGCGCCCCCAGGGGAGGGCAAGUGGGAGACAUCCAUGUGGGUGAAGAGGCACGGCCAGCCCCCCAACCCCAGGUGGCAGACUCUAUGCCAACUUGUCCUCCAUGUGGCCCCCAUAAGAAGAAAGGCCAAGAACUCUAAAAAGACCUCUGAGGCCAAGAGAAAAUGUCCAGGGAUUUGCUCGACGGAGAGAAGCUGGCCCUUGGAGAUGAGGAGGGGUGUAUGUACGUAAGACUCUCUCUCCCCAGCUGCUCUCUCUCUUCUCCUCAGGCCUUCAGCAAACAUUUAUCAGAGACUUGCUCUUCCUGGUAGCUGUUCUAUGUGUGGGGAUGUAAGGAUCAACAUUGCCCCUGUCCUCCCAGAAUUUUCAGGCCACCGGGAAUACAGGUAAUUAAACAGGCAAUUAUGCCCAACAGGGCAGGGGGCAUGCCUGGAAAAGUACGUAUAUAUCAGAAUAGAGCCGCUCUCGCUUUUUUCCUCCCUCUCUCCUCCUCCGUUACACAGAUCUGCAGAUCAAACAGGAGGAUUUCCGCAGGGAAGCUGAAAGGUAGAGAUGACAUGGUGCUAUCUGUCAACCUAUUAGAAAGCUUGAUGUAAUUAUUUCGUGAAGGGCAAGGGAUGUUGCCCUGGGAGAGGGGACCCUGGAGGUUCACGGAGUAGAGAAGAGAUACUGUGCAGACAAGGAAAAAAGUCUUUCCUGAGGUUGGUAAAUUUGUAUUUAUGGAAUUGGUUACAGGAGGCCCCAGUGGGAGGUUUUUCUUUCAAAUAGGUUUUGGCAACUCCAUAGAAGACGGUCUUUGCCCACCUUUGGUGAGCUCAUGGUUUCUGUUUCUUUUCUCACCAAAUUGUAUGCCUAAACUUCUAGAAAAUAGUCAUAUUGACCCACUUAAAUUUUCCACCUUUUUAAUUGCCCUUGUUCCUGGGUGGAGGGAGUAUAAUGAGCUAGCAGUGGGAGGUGGGGGUGGGAGGCGAAAGGUUAGACUGUCUUUGAUGAGCUGGGAGGAAGGCCUGGGGCUGCGUGAUCAGAGAAUGUGGUUCUUCGGUGGCCUUUGGGGUCACUUAUUAGGUUUGGGAACACUAGUUGGGAGUUCACCAAACAGCGUGCAGCCCAUGAGGGUGGGCGACUCUUUGUGGGAGCUGAGGAGAAGCCUGAGGAUCAGGGAGGACCCAUGCUAUACCCUGGGAGGUGGCAGAGGCUGUGGGCCCCACGAGACCCAACACCAGUAAUGGAGGAACUACUGGCAGCCGCUUGCUUAUAUCCCCCAUCCUCAUUACCACCCUGGGACCCAGGGAUCUGCAUUUUACCCGUGAGGCGACAGACACUGAGCAUAGUUAAGCCAAGUCGCUCAGCUCCGGCUAGAAGUGGUGGAUUUGAGAACUGAUUCCACACAAUCCCGGGCUCUGAGACCUUGGCUUCCAUUGCCACAUGCCCAGCUGCUUCCCUAGAGCUUUGGGGGCAGCUCCUGGAAUCAGGCUGCCUGGAUUCAGAUCCCAGCUCACUAUUCAACAGAACAAUGAUCCGAGGUCAGUUCCUCACCCUCGGGUUCCUCCUUUGUAAAAUGGGCUGGUUUGGUCACCGUGCUCAAGGACUGUUCUCGAUGCCCCAUUGAGCUCGUGCGGUGCAUGUAAAGCUCUGAGCACACGUGUAAGUGCUCCGUACGUGUUGGUUACCGUGCUUGUUAUUAACCCAGCAGGACAAGGAGGAAGGUUGGGGGCGUCCCGGGUGUGCUGUCGCUCCUCUGUUUCCUCCUCCCACUGUCCCGACUGGCAGGCAAUCAGGAGUUGGUUUUUCUGGUACAAAGCUUGCCCUGGUAUCCUGGAGUGACCUGCAGGCCUGAGAUUAUUGUACAGGCCCACACGCCCAGCCAAAUUUACCGCUCGCCUCGGUGGCCCCCUCAGCCUGUGCCUCUGUAGUUGAGAGAAACCGCUACCCUUCAGCCCGCGUUCUCGCUCUGGAAAGGCCUGACCUUUAUUCAGAAUCAUCCUCCAGUCCCCACGUCACACACAGGCUCGUUCACCCACUCCCUCCCCCGGCACGCCCUUUGUUUUCUCUCUUUGGGGGAGAUAAUGGGGACCACAGUGUCUCCAAGACAGCUGUUUUUCCUUCGUCUCUGUCUCUGUCCUUCUAACUCUCUGUUCCCCAGUGGGGUCUCUCUGACACAGGAGGGUACAGUGAGGAUAUGAAGGUGUUGAAGGACAGGGCUGUAGCGUCAAACAGCCUGGGCUUAAUCCUCUGAGGUCCAGAACAACUGCCCUUCACUUAACGUUCCUCAUGGGCAUGCC